UCCCACUUUCCCUUUCGGAGAAAUGUAAAACACUAGCUAAGUGUGACUCCUCUUUCCAUCCAAUUCUCUCCCAUUUUUCUCUUCCCCUUCAGGUUCAAAGUUUAUUCACAAUACCUAUACCCAAUAUGGCAUGAACCUCGCCCGUUUCCAUUCCUAUCCUUGACAAUGCCUUGUAGAAGUAAUUCAAUACAAUACUUAAGUAAAAUAAAAGUUUGAAUGCAAAUAUGCAAUAGAAAUUAAAAGAAUAAUAGAGAUCAUACAUUCAAUUUAAACUUUAAACUAUACAGUUACUUGUCCAUGAAAUAUGAUCAGAAAUCAAGCUGUAGCUUAAAAAUGGAAAUAUAACCAUAAAACUCAGACAUUGAGAAAAAUGCGAACAAGUCCAAAUAAAUAAAAGCCUACAUUAGUCAAGAUAACUCUCC
rnacentral:lncRNA from 1 species